rnacentral:rRNA from 1 species
GAAUAUUGGACAAUGGGGGGAACCCUGAUCCAGCCAUGCCGCGUGUGUGAAGAAGGCCUUUUGGUUGUAAAGCACUUUAAGCGAGGAGGAGGCUACUCUCGUGAAUACCUAGGGAUAGUGGACGUUACUCGCAAACAAAGCCCCGGCUAACUCUGUGCCAGCAGCCGCGGUAAUACAGAGGGUGCAAGCGUUAAUCGGAUUUACUGGGCGUAAAGCGCGCGUAGGUGGACAAUUAAGUCAAAUGUGAAAUCCCCGAGCUUAACUUGGGAAUUGCAUUCGAUACUGGUUGGCUAGAGUAUGGGAGAGGAUGGUAGAAUUCCAGGUGUAGCGGUGAAAUGCGUAGAGAUCUGGAGGAAUACCAAUGGCGAAGGCAGCCAUCUGGCCUAAUACUGACACUGAGGUGCGAAAGCAUGGGGAGCAAACAG